rnacentral:lncRNA from 1 species
GCUGGGGAAAUGAUCUUUGAUUGACUUGAGGCUGGAAGAUGGGAAGAUAAUUUAAGGUCUAAUAUUUAUCUUUUAUUGAUAAUUAAACUCUUCACAGGCAUGGGAGAAGACAGUUAUAGUAGAGCAAUAGUGAAGAAAACUCCAGAAGUCUCAGUUUGGGUUCUACUUUUCAAAACGGAGCUACUGUUAUCACCAAUAGUCCUGAUGAAGGUUUGUAUACUAUUUCUCACUAUUUCAGAGGGAAGAAGCUUAUCCAGUAAUGUCCACUUCCACAGAUAUUGGUUUCCAUUUGUCCAUUCCUUGGCUUUUGCAGGUUGCUGGGAUGGAAUGCUCUCAGGACUGAGCAGUCAAAUCAAAAUCUGGGUGGACUCUCUGACCCAGUGGAGUCACAUCUUGCUGAAAUACCUGGCUUCGAGUAUACAGG